CUUACCGCUGGCAGCAAGGCCGGGCGGCGGAGGCCGGGCCGGGUGCCCUGGGGCCGGCGCCGGGAGCGCUAGGGGCCCCGUGCGGUCAGGCCGGGGCGACCUCCACCCGCACCCACGCCUCAUGGGGCUCCCGGGUCUUGGCCGCGGCUGGGAUCCCCGGAAAAGCAGGGACGGAGAAGCCAGGCCGGCAUGCCCGCCCUCCUUCCCCCGGGAGGACCCAACAACUCCGGAAAGAUCCUGCCGGGAGAUGUGCUCGCUUUCCCCGGGGCAGCGGGGGAAAGCCCAGCAAAGGCACAUUGAAAAUUAAAAAGAAAAAAAAAAUUACGCCGAGUGGAAGAAGCAAUCGGGGCCGCGGCGGCGGUGAGGUAGGGGGCGCGGGGGCCAGCCGCGUGUGAGUGGGUCCGAGUGUGCGUGAGUGUGAGUGCGUGUGUGUGUGUCCACGGCGCGGGCCGGAGCACUCACCAUCUCGCCGGGGGAGCGAGGCCACUUCGGGGUCGGAUUGGAAAUGUUGAGGCUUCGCUUGCUUCCUCCGCGACAUGCUGGCUCAAACAUCAGCUGGGGCAGAAUAAAAAAUUACUAAAAAAAAAUCUUCUCAAAAUUACGGAAAUCGAGCGGCGGCGGCGGCGGCGGCUCCCCCCGCCCGCCGGCCCGCCCGCCCCCUCCCCGGCUCCCCGGCCCCGGGCGCAGCGCGCAUGUGUCCUGCUAUAAUUAUGAUUAUCAAUAAUGCAUUGCGAUUAAUCAUAGAGGGGCUCUUUGAAAGGCGAUUGGCACCGGGCCAGCGCUAUUCAAACCCGCUCGCCUUAAUCAAUUAGUUCGUGAUUUGCUGCAGACCCCUGUCUCUCCGCGCGCUGGCCCAAUAAGCCGGCCGCGGGGCUGGCUCUGCGCGCCGCGCCGCCCGACACUGGGUUAACCCUCUUUGCGACCGCCCGGGACUCCGCGGCCCGGCCGCCGGGGGCCGGCCUCCUCUCCACUGCGGGCCCGGCGCCCCGGCAGGCGCCCCCCGCUCUCUCCCUCUCCCCUCCCUCUUCCCUCCCUCCUUCGCCCCCCCCCACAAUCCCGGGCUGGGCCGACCCAAAUUAGCAUGCCCUCCCCGGAAUUGAGCCGCCCCGGGUGGGGGGUGGGGCCGGGCGGCGAGGGCUGGGGACCCGGGCUGCCGGCGCGCUGCGAACUUCCCAACUCGGGGGCGAGGCGCGCCGGCCCGCGGGGGGAGGGAGUCCCGCGGCGGGAUCAGGGGGGAGGGCGUCCCGUUUCGUGAGUGUUUCUUCGUUUCUUUAAGAGCUACCAGAAAGCAGCCCACCCCCACCCCCAUUAAAAAAAAAAAUAAGCGAGUGGGGAAGAGCCAGCCCCACGCCGGUCCGCCUCCCGCCCACGGCUCGGCCUCCCUCCCGCCUGGCUCGGCGCUCCUCCGCCCCGAGUUCUCCAUCCCCUGGAUCCCGGGCUCGCGGGGGCGCGGAGAAGAGGAUCCAGGAAAGGUUUGGGAACCUGAUGGGUUUGUGGCUGGGGGGAGGGGCAGUUCUCCCGCCACCCCAUCCCCUCCCCGCCAGGGGCACUGAUCCUCCAGCUUCUUGCUUGCUCCCUCGCUCCCUUUCUCUACCUCGGACAUUCCCAGGACAAUUAGGGCUGAAGUUUUCGGGAGAAGCAGCCCCGAGCCCGUGGGAUAAGGGGGCGGCCCGGCUCCGCCCAGGACCCCUCCCGGACCUCCCC
rnacentral:lncRNA from 1 species